UGGGGAAUAUUGGGCAAUGGGCGAAAGCCUGACCCAGCAACGCCGCGUGAGGGAAGAAGGCUUUCGGGUUGUAAACCUCUGUCGCAGGGGACGAAAAAAUGACGGUACCCUGUGAGGAAGCCCCGGCUAACUACGUGCCAGCAGCCGCGGUAAUACGUAGGGGGCGAGCGUUGUCCGGAAUUACUGGGCGUAAAGGGUGCGUAGGCGGCGAUUUAAGUUGGAUGUGAAAUCCCCGGGCUUAACCUGGGUGGUGCAUCCAAAACUGAAUGGCUAGAGUGCAGGAGAGGGAAGCGGAAUUCCUAGUGUAGCGGUGAAAUGCGUAGAUAUUAGGAGGAACACCAGUGGCGAAGGCGGCUUUCUGGACUGUAACUGACGCUGAGGCACGAAAGCGUGGGGAGCA
rnacentral:rRNA from 1 species